rnacentral:rRNA from 1 species
CGGUAGUGCGGGUGCUAUAAUGCAGUCGAGCGAACGGACGAGAAGCUUGCUUCUCUGAUGUUAGCGGCGGACGGGUGAGUAACACGUGGAUAACCUACCUAUAAGACUGGGAUAACUUCGGGAAACCGGAGCUAAUACCGGAUAAUAUUUUGAACCGCAUGGUUCAAAAGUGAAAGACGGUCUUGCUGUCACUUAUAGAUGGAUCCGCGCUGCAUUAGCUAGUUGGUAAGGUAACGGCUUACCAAGGCAACGAUGCAUAGCCGACCUGAGAGGGUGAUCGGCCACACUGGAACUGAGACACGGUCCAGACUCCUACGGGAGGCAGCAGUAGGGAAUCUUCCGCAAUGGGCGAAAGCCUGACGGAGCAACGCCGCGUGAGUGAUGAAGGUCUUCGGAUCGUAAAACUCUGUUAUUAGGGAAGAACAUAUGUGUAAGUAACUGUGCACAUCAUGACGGUGCCUAAUCAGACAGCCUCGGCUAACUACGUGACAGCAGCCGCGGUAGUACGUACGUGGGAUGCGUUGACCGGAAUUAGUGGGCGUCAUGGGUGCGUAUGCGGUUUCUGCUUCUGCUGUGGUGUCUCUCCGCCUCCCUC